AAUUUGUCUGCAAGGCGAUGGUCGUGCAACGUGUUGUGAUGUGUGGCAACAACUUUAAUGAUCACCUCAUACUUAGGUAUAGUUUCACGCCCCAGGUGUGGCAUGCUAUUGCUACUGGGCAUGACCGUCCCUCUGUCUUGCCUUUCUUUUGUGAAGGAGACAAUCUCCUUUCCUGAGUGGUAGCACUAAACCCGUGGCAAAAAUCUUGCACCUACGAAAAUUGACUUGCGUGAGGGCGUCGUGUCUUGCUCUCAUCAAUCUCUCCCCUGUAUUUCAGGGUGGGCCCCCUUCCCUCUAAUCAAAAUUUGUCAACUAAUCCCAUACGUAAAGUUUCGUAAUUAUUUUUCAUAGGUGUAGCAAAGCUCAACCCGUGGCCUGGUAAUCGUCCCUCCAGGCAUAUGAUUGAUGGCAUCGUCGCUUACACAUUCUGGCAUAUCUACUGCGAGAGAAAUAGGAGGGUAUUUUUUUAGGUUGCUUACCACAUGGACCAUGUGGUAAAUAAGAGGGUGUUUGACAACAAGUAUCACGCGGUUGCUGCGGUAGCAAGCAUGGUCAAGGAGGCAACGUUGGCACGUGCCCUAGCCUUCGCUAGAGUUGUGAACCAUGAUCUUUGUUAAUCUUGUACGAGUGUUUUUGUUGGUUUUUGGUUAUACUCAAAGUAUUCUUUCCUUCCAUAGAAUUUGCAAAGCUCCUACUAUAUUUCGAAGAAAAAAGAAUCUACUUGCACGGACGCGCUGAUGCCAGCAACCAGUCCCACGGUCGUACAGCCGAGCCAUGAGGAGAGGAAAAAGAAGAAAGGGAUCAUAAAUCAGGAGAUACAUAUCAGGGGUGUUUAUGUAAAUGACAUCUACGUGGCAGCUGCGCCUGACCCAUGGUGAACCACUUGCUCACAAUUAGGAUGAUGUACAUUUCUAAACAUUAUAAGAUUCAAUUGGCAUACCUCGAAUACUUUUAAGACCUAUGAUGCAUUUUACUUAUAAAGAUUAUUAGGGAGCA
rnacentral:rRNA from 1 species